rnacentral:rRNA from 1 species
UAGGUCGACCCGCUGAAUUUAAGCAUAUCAAUAAGCGGAGGAAGAGAAACCAACAGGGAUUCCCUCAGUAACGGCGAGCGAAGUGGGAAGAAAGCCCAGGUCUGAAAUCUCCCGGCUGGCAAUUGACAUGGUCGGGCGAAUUGUGGUCUGGAAAGGCGGACUGUCCCGAUCCACUGCUCUUGGGCCCGAAGUUGACUUGGAAUGGCACGCUAAAGAGGGUGAGAGCCCCGUAGGGCAUGGAAACUGAGAGCGGCGGGACGAGGGUCCGUACUUAUCGAGUCGGGUUGUUUGGGAUUGCAGCCCCAAGUUGGUGGUAGACUCCAUCAAAGGCUGAAUACGGGUGCGAGACCGAUAGCUGACAAGUACC